CAACGCUGAGCGAGCCUGCUGAGCAUCUCCAGCGCCCGAAGACAUCCCUUAAGCCCGCCUGCGACCCGCCUCACUCGUCCCAGUUUCCCUCACCCUCCUCCCGCUCCUCAUCAGUUCACACUCGCCGACCAUGUCUCCCAUCUCCGACACGCUCCUUACCACGCUCGCAAACGGGUUCGGCACACUUGCAGUGGUCGGUAUCGUCGUCUAUCAGUUCCUCGAGAUCAACGCGAAGCGGGAGCGUGAGCGGCUGGCCGCCGAGAUGCGGGCGCAGUAAGCGGGGUGAAAGGGAGUGACUGGCAGGGCAUUUCAUGCGAACGAACUACGCGUCUCAAUACCGCCUCGCCUUCGCCUCACCCGUCAAAACCAGCAGCAAGACGACGCAAGAUACCCAGCAGUAGUUGCAACGAUACCCUCAUUGGAGUGGAGCGGAACAGGGUUGCAGGGGGAGCAGAAAUCG
rnacentral:misc_RNA from 1 species